ACCCCCUUCGCCGCCCGGCGGUCCUCGUCUCUGGCGCGGCCUCGAGGCUUCCGCGCGUGAACAGCUCUGCCUUACGGCGAAGAUGUGGUCGUCGUAUUUACGGCAAGAGCGGGGACCGGGAGCGCGUCUGACUUCUGGUAGCUCCGCACAGGGACGCUAUCGAGGCGGUUGUGCGCCUCGGUCGCGCAGUGAUGCCCGCCUCCUGAAUCUUCUUGGAGGAACAAGAGAGGGGCCUGGGGUCUGAAGGAGACGUCGCGCGGGCGACGGAGAGGAGAGGGAAGGUCUGUGGGGGCGCCUGGAGGAAAUGGAGUUCUUGAGCGGAGCGGCUGGUGGAAGGCGGGAGGAGGCAGAGAAGGAAGGAGACGAGCAAACUGGCGCGAGGCCCAAGUACAUGGUAACACAGUGAGUAGGACCCAGCAGGGGCCUGAAGACGCGGGAGCGGAUGGUGAUUAGCCAUGCCCUCGCCCUGAUGUCCUGUGUGGGACGUGAGUGUACUGUCCCCGUGCCCCGGUGAGCUAUGUGAGUGCAGGGAAGAGAAGGGGAGAAAAUCACGCCCGCAGAGCAGCGGUGGGGCCCCCGGGCGGACCCUGCCCCUGGAAGAACAGCUCCAACCGGAGUGCUGUGCAGUGGAGGCAUGACUUCCACGGAGCCUCCUAGGUUAGGAGGAGGAAAGAACAGAAGUCCAGGGAGAGAGAGUGAGGCUGGGGCUGGAUUGCAACAGUGAACAGUUGCCCGCUGGAGACGGUCAGAUCAAGCACACUCACCAGCCACAGAAGACAGGAUAGGGGAAACCUGCUCCAUCUCCCCAGUGUGUCCUUACUUGUGCAUCACCGGAUGUCUGCAGAAACAUGCUCCUCUAGGACCUGCUGCGAUGGUGGACAUGUUUGGUGUCCAGUAAGGCGGCUGCUGACCAUGUGGCUUUCAAGCAUUUCAAAUGUGGCUAGUACAAGUAAGGAACUGAAUUUUGAACUUUUAAAGUUUUUAUGUGGUUUUAACUAAUUAAUUUAAAUUUAAAUAGAUGCAUGUGUCUGGGGGCUACCAAACUGGACAACAGUGUAAAAUAUCCCGUUGGCCAAAUUCAGUGAUUUCAUCUCCCCAUCCACCCUGCUUGAAGACACUCGCAGCCUUGCAGCCUGCACAUUAGAAGCCACAGCACUGGGGCAUGUUUCUCAGAGUGGCCUGUAGACUGGCCACCAUCAGCAUCACUGCAGUACCUGUUAAAAACGAAGAAUUCCAGAUCCCAGUAGACAUGAGUCAGCUAAAGCAAAUGUAAGUUUUAAUAGCUUCUCUCAACCCAGUGCAUUAUAGUGUGCAUUUCAAAAUCUCUGCAGCCAGGGCCUAGCAUUCUGCAUGUGUAACAAGCUAUCCUGGUGCUUUUACAAAUGUUUAACCAUCGAAAAAUUUUGUAUAUUCAUCAACAUAGAGCUCUUUAAAAAUCUACCCCAGAAUGACAAAUGACCAGGUUUCUAAUAUUUUGGGGAUUUAUUUUAGGUAAAAUGUUUUCAUUAUAUAAGGUAUCUGGGACCAAGAAACCAAAUGGUACAGCACUCCAAUUAUUAAAUUAUUACAGAACCUGUGAAAUGAAUGUCUCCAAACAAUUCUAGGGGCACUUCAGAGGCUCCAGUGGUUAAGCAUCUGCCUUCAGCUCAAGUCAUGCUCUCUAGGUUCUUGCAUCGAGCCCCACGUCAGACUCCCAGCUCAGCGAGGAGUCUGCUUCUCCCGGUCUUUCUGCCUCUCCCCCUGCUUGUGCACUCUCUGUCUCUCUCUCUCAAAUGAAUAAAUAAAACCUUUAAAAAAAAUUCUAAUUACUGUCAACUGCAUAUCCCAUUUUACAGAUGUAUCAACUGAGACUUAAAGACAAAAUGUGAGCUGGUUAAAUAGACAUUUUUAAGAGAGUGAUCAACUUUCAUGUCUGUAUCCUCACAUGAACAAAAGAGCUCAGUUUUCUGUGUUAAACAUAUCUGCUAUCUUUUGGCAAAUACUAGCAAUAAUAUUAAGUUAUGUUAUUAAUCAACCCUAACAACAAAAACAACCCUAGGAGUUUUAUACUGUCAAUUUUACAGAUGUGGAAAGCAAGGCUCCAUGCGAUGAAGCAAUGAAGAAAAUCACACGGUUAGCGACAGAGCAGCAUCCGUCCCAGGGUCCCUCCUUCUCCAAGCGUAUACAUUAUGCUCAUGGACAUCACUCUAGGAAGAAGUCCGUUGAUAUUCUGAAGUCUGUCCAAAUAAUAUGAGACAAAGAGGUGACAGACAUGAAAAGUAUUUCACUUACAUGGUUGCAUCUUUUAAACAAGCACAUGCAAUAAAGUGUAACUUAAUCUUCAA